rnacentral:rRNA from 1 species
UACGGAGGGUGCAAGCGUUAAUCGGAAUUACUGGGCGUAAAGAGUUCGUAGGUGGUUGAUUAAGUUAUCUGUAAAAUCCCUGGGCUCAACCUGGGCAGGUCAGAUAAUACUGGUUAACUCGAGUAUGGUAGAGGGUAGUGGAAUUUCCGGUGUAGCGGUGAAAUGCGUAGAGAUCGGAAGGAACACCAGUGGCGAAGGCGGCUACCUGGACUAAUACUGACACUGAGGAACGAAAGCGUGGGGAGCAAACAGG